rnacentral:rRNA from 1 species
AAUCAACGCUGGCGGCGUGCCUAACACAUGCAAGUCGCACGAGAAAGGGACUUCGGUCCUGAGUAUAGUGGCGCACGGGUGAGUAACACGUGAAUAAUCUACCUUCGAGUGGGGAAUAACUGAGAGAAAUCUUAGCUAAUACCGCAUAAUACCUACGGGUCAAAGCAGCAAUGCGCUUGAAGAGGAGUUCGCGGCAGAUUAGUUAGUUGGCGGGGUAAUGGCCCACCAAGACGAUGAUCUGUAUCCGGCCUGAGAGGGCGCACGGACACACUGGAACUGAAACACGGUCCAGACUCCUACGGGAGGCAGCAGUGGGGAAUUUUGCGCAAUGGGGGAAACCCUGACGCAGCAACGCCGCGUGGAGGAUGAAGUAUCUCGGUACGUAAACUCCUUUCGAUGGGGAAGAUAAUGACGGUACCCAUAGAAGAAGCCCCGGCUAACUUCGUGCCAGCAGCCGCGGUAAUACGAGGGGGGCAAGCGUUGUUCGGAUUUAUUGGGCGUAAAGGGUGCGUAGGCGGUUUGGCAAGUCUUGUGUGAAAUCUAUGGGCUCAACCCAUAGCCUGCACGAGAAACUACCG